rnacentral:lncRNA from 1 species
CAGCCCUGGAAAGCGUCCCUGCGUGCGGGAGCGGGCACCGCAAAAAAACCCCACGCGUCUUUUCCUGGCCGCUCGGGAGGCCGCUUCACGGUGCCCCCAGCCCGAGCUGUCCGACCGUGUUCUUCACCUUCUGUCAGUCAGGGUGAACUUGCUUGCCUUGUUUGUGCUUCGGCGGGUCGGUUUUGACUUACCCCUGUGGUAUGUGGAAGCGCCGACUCCAAUAAACCAUUAACUCUUUCCCGUGCUGCCAUCAGGCUAGGCUUUGCCCGGGACGGCUCCGCCGCCCUUUUAAGGAAAAACCGGGACCAGGCUUCCCGAGUGCGAUGCACGCGUGGGGUCACAGCCCCGCCGGGAGCACCGCCGAACCCCCGCUGGACGCGCCCCAGGGUCCGGCGGACGGCUGGGACAUCGCGCGGGGGGAGUGAUGUCCGCUCGCCUCAGGGAUUCCUUUGUCACGCCGCCCGCUGCUGUCUCGUCCGGGUUCCUCUCCGCGGAGCCCGCUCCAUCUUCCGGCCAGCCUCGGUCCCCGCUCCAGCCGCUGGGCUUCGGACCUUCCUUGCUGCCGCACCGCGCCUCCGCCCGCCGCCACCACCUGCGGCUGCUUCGCUGGCGGGAUGUUUGGAGAGAAUCCGAGCGCUGGCCUUCCACCGGAGCGUGGUUCCCGGCGCUUUCCCCGACGAUCGUAUGCCGGUUUCAUCGACUUCCCUUCGCACCGCUGCGGGAUUGCGCCCGGAUUAAGUCAACUCAGGGGAAGGAAAGAGCAUGGUUCAUACAUUCCCGGCCGCAGUCAUGAACAGGGAAAUGCUGGCCUCGGUGGUGAAAGAUUAUUUCACAUGAGCAG